GCCUUCGUGGUGUAACGGUAGCAUACACGGCGCAUAUUCGAGAGAUCCGAGUUCGAGUCCCGGUGAAAGCA
rnacentral:tRNA from 1 species